rnacentral:rRNA from 1 species
CAAUAGCGUAUAUUAAAGUUGUUGCGGUUAAAAAGCUCGUAGUUGGAUUUCUGCCGAGGACGACCGGUCCGCCCUCUGGGUGAGUAUCUGGCUCGGCCUGGGCAUCUUCUUGGAGAACGUAGCUGCACUUGACUGUGUGGUGCGGUAUCCAGGACUUUUACUUUGAGGAAAUUAGAGUGUUUCAAGCAGGCACACGCCUUGAAUACAUUAGCAUGGAAUAAUAAGAUAGGACCUCGGUUCUAUUUUGUUGGUUUCUAGAGCUGAGGUAAUGAUUAAUAGGGAUAGUUGGGGGCAUUCGUAUUUAACAGUCAGAGGUGAAAUUCUUGGAUUUGUUAAAGACGGACUACUGCGAAAGCAUUUGCCAAGGAUGUUUUCAUUGA